rnacentral:lncRNA from 1 species
GCAGUUUGAAAAACACAAAUUGUGAUCAUUGAGAAGCUUAGUAUUCCCUUAACAACACAACAUAAUUAAAACGUUUAGCUGAUUUUACAGAGUAAUCUCCCUGUAGUGUUAGUUAACAACCUUAAGCAGCAGGGAGCCAUGUUGUGUUCUCUCGGAAAAAUGCUGUCUUCCGUCGAACUGACGGAUUUGUCACUGUCUUUGAAGUUUGCUUCUCAUGAAUGCUUAUAAACAUUUUAGGCAGGGACCUGUCAAAAUUAAUACAUAGGUUAAAUGAUUCCCAAAGGGCAAAAACAUAUUUGUAUUAUAAUAAACUUAUGUAUAUCUAUUGAAUAAAAUUUGGUAGUCUGUUUCCAAUCUCAAUUUCAAUUUUAUGUCAAAAUUUUGAUGUAUCACUAUUUAAUAUGUAUUUCGAUAGGCACGUGAAUAGUAUGAAAAAGAUAUUCCGGACAUUAAGUUUUUCUUCAACUAAUUAUAGGGUUUCAAAUGGACAUGGAAUCUUGGAUCAUUUAUGGUCUUACACCUCUAGGAAUUUGAGAUGAUUGACAUGAAUACACAAAAUAAUUAUUAUAUAUACAAUACCUUACUUCAUAAAAAAAAUAUAAUAAAUAAUACAUACAUAUUUAAGAUUUAAUUACAAGUAC